AGACUUGAGGGAAAUCUAGCUGCGACAUCUGUCACCCCCAUUGAUCACCAGGGUUAAUUCAGCUGAUCUGGAUGUCCCCUUCUUUCGUCACCACUCCAUGUGCAUUCCUCCCAAAGUUACAUGCUCGGUGGAACAUGAUAACCAUCCCAGAGAGAAGGAGUGUACACCUGACUAGCUGCUAAAUUCAUCAGAAUUUUAUUUUCUCCAGUGAGGAUAAGAGACAUGGUAAGGCAAGCUUAUUAAUUAUAAUGGAAGUGUUCUUCCUU
ensembl:misc_RNA 7SK 7SK RNA